CAGACACGCUGCGUGUCAAAGUACAGUGGACCUUCGAGUUUUAAUUGCCAAAUCAAAAACGGGCCAGGUCCUCGUCCCUCAACAGGAGCACAAAAUGGUGGAUUAUUGUCAUAGCGUGAGUGGAUACCAUUAGAGCAAACGAGAUCGCACACCUUGGUAUUAACAGUUGCACGUGUUUUCUGUGGAAUAUUACUUUUGCACACCACACCACC